UGGGCUCUCGGAAGAAACCAGGCCAAGCCUACAGUGAUGCUGAAUGCCAACGUACCCCAUGCCCAGGGCACUGAGGUUAGGAUGAGUCUGUGCAUCUUGGCAAGUGUCUUUCCACACGCCUGGGGGCUGAAAUGUGGGUUGCAUUAUCUUAUCAUGGAAAUGUGGCACCCAGGCCAGGUGCUUUGCAAGCUGCCCUGGGCUUUUCUGCACAGCUCCGCUGGCCUCUGUCCAGCCUGCAAAUGGCAGCCCUCGCAUGUGAGCGUGCCGAGCCAUUCGCUGCUGGGCAGACCGUCCCUUGGCGAAGCAAGGGCGAGUGGCUGGGCUGAGGCUUGGCAUACACAUGUUAGGCUGGCAUUGAGGAUUGGAGAUUAUUGCUCCUGAGAGAAUAGGGAGGGUAAAUCGAACCCCCGUACUUGUCGUUCGAGCAUGUCUGCUGCUGCUACUCCUGCUGCUAUGUCCCAUACAACUAGUUUCUUUACUGUGUCAGGACAGGGUGACAACAACCCCAAGCAACCAAACAGUCUGCCUUAAAGCUUACCUACAACCUGUCUUUCAGACCCUCUGGUUUUCUCCUCAGCACUGGGGCAAGAAACCAGGACACCAGCCAGCCCCGGGGAUUUGCUGCUUCAGCUCCAGCCGGCCAGUGGUGCCUUUGAUAGGAGUGUAUAUUACACUGAACAGGUGCGGCCUCUUCCUGCUGGUCUCGGAGAGGCCGGGGGAAGGGGAGGGAGAGCAUGCAAAAGCACAAGUGGCAAGGAUGGCUGGAGACAGUAUUAGCGUUCUUUGAACCCGAUUUGUCAGUAUUAAAUUGCGAGGCCCGUGGGCGAGACAGCCGACAUGGGGACUUCACAGCAGAGCUGCUUGGAACCUGCCAAAAGGAAGGGCAUUAAGAGAGGCUCCCCUCAGACCUUCCACCUGCCCCCUCCUUCCCACCUCCAGUUCUGGUCCUGAAAGGUGUACUUUCCACCCGCUGCUUAGUCGUUUCUUAAUUGGGGUUCAGCCUUCUCAGGAUGCUCAGAUCUCACUGAGUCAGCACGCUACCCAAUGGAGCCAAUGCGGACAUUGCUGCUACAACCCUUUCCAAACAUAUCCCUGAGGUCCGCACGCUAAGGGCUGGAUUUGCAUCCUGCAGUUUAGGGCUGCUGUUGACAAGAACACCUCCCUGAAAGGGUGAAUUCCCCUUUCUGCAGGGCUCAGCUGAGAGGUGGAUCUGAUGGAGCCUUACCUGGGAAUCUCAGCAGCAUUUUAGAGCUUGGACAUCGUAUUUAAAUACAUUCACGGGGCACCGAGCUGGCUGGGGGACCGCGGACACUCUACAAUAGGCUGCAAUCCCUUGUCUGAGUUUUCAGAUGGUAGGGAAUUGGAGAAGAUGGGGGAGGGGACUCAAAUCCAUUUUAAGCCAACAGAGGAAUUCUGUGGCCUCUCUAAAUUCAGGGACACCAGAAGCUCCUCCCCACCCCGGAUCAUUGCCCACCUUGGGCCUCUCAGUGGCACUCACUGAGGUAGGGGCAUUAGGGACCCUCCCUAGAACUUAUGUCCAUUGGCUGUUGUCAGUGCCCACCCUUCUUCAGAGGCUGUAUCUCCCUUCUCCAGCAAUGGCUCACGUCCACAUGGAAAAUCAAGAGGCUUGUAGAAACCAGGGUCAGGAUUAAGGCUACAAGGGUAAAGGGCCAAACACAUGUCUGACCUAAGUCUAUUAAAGCCACAUCAGUUACACUAGGGGAGCCCCCUGCCAUAAUUCAAAGCCGGGAGGGAUGAGGCAGGGAAUUUGUCAUAAAUCUGGUGGUGCCUGAUCCGUAGAACAGGGACAGGGCUGCAGUCUAAAGGAGUGAUUUCAGAAUGCGUUUCUUGGGCUUCUCUUGAGUGAGAAUUGCAGUUAUUCCCAGAGCUCCCCAGCGCCUGGCAGCUCUGGGCCUUUUUUCUCACAUCUCAGGGUGCUAUCCACAAGGCAGUGCCUGUGAGACGGUGGCGUUGCCUCUCCCCUCUACUGGCACCAGCGAAAGAGCUUCCAAGCCCCAGAUGCCCAUUCCAUGCCGACUGGCUUGUGUCCUCCGCACCGGGCACAUUGGCAGGAGUUCAGCUCCGAGUCUCUUUGCACCACCCAGAAAGCAAAGGCCUGCUAGGCCAUGGGCAGCUGUACUGUUUUUAGUCUGUGUUUGGAGACACAGGUGCAGAUACCCAACUAUAGGAAUAUAAUCGCCCCCGUUAGACUGCUCCCUAGCAGAGACCCCCCCCCAAAGACAGCUGGGAGCGCCCGAGACCUCAGGGCCACAAGAGCCCCUUUGGCGUAGAGAUGGAUCGAUACUGAGAAGACAGAGCAAGCUGCUACUCCCAAAGAUUGUCUGUCUUUUUUUAGAGGGGAGAGGCUAGUGUGGAAGGAGGCGUGGCCUCUCACCCAUCCAGCUUCACAUGACAGUUUCAGUGCUGCAGUCCCCAGUCUGGCAACAGUGGCAAUCUCCUCUCCAGGGCAGAGCCUCCAUGCUGCUAUUUACCCCACCGGCCUGCCUAGGCCAUACGUCUCCUCCAGUGGCACUCAGCACCAGGAGCGGAUGUUAACGCUGCUUUGCGCUCCCGUGGGACACUCAUGAUGGGGAUGCUGAUUCCCAGCUUUGCCCACUUGCGCUCCCAGAACACAAGCCUCCCAUUGUGCCUUGCUUCUAUGCGUAGGUGGGCAAGUGAAGGGGCCUCAAAGGAUCAUGGGCCCUGUACCAGCCUCCCUCUCCUUUGUGCUUGGAAGAAAAAAUUAAUCCAAUCCUUGGCCUAUAGGGGGGUAAUUCUUUCAGGGUCUGAUCCAGUGCCCACUAGCACCGGUGGAAGGGCUCCCAGGGUGCAUCUACACAGCACCUGAAACUCGAAAUAAGAUACGCAAUUUGCGCUAUGCUAAUUGUGUAGUUUAUUUCGUCAUUUGGCACUGUCUACACAGCACCAAAUUCUGAAAUAAAGUGCUAUUUCGAGCCAUCCCUUACUCUCCUCGUAGAAUGAGGUUUACAGGGAUGGCAAAAUAGCACAUCCGCUAUAUUUCGAUAUAGCAGGCGCAUUCAAAAGACACAGAGUGGCUAUUUCGGGAUACCUCUGGUAUCCCGAAAUAACUUUGCUGUGUAGACCCAUUGACUUCAGUGGGCAAUAGACCAGGAGAAAGGGACGUGAGCCACCAAGCAAAUGCACGAAAGAGAUAAAGCCCCCAAUAGCAGUUGCUCCCUUGGUGCAGGUCCCAUUUCCCUGCCUGGUUAGCAAGUGCAUCUUUGUUCCAAGAUGUGGGAUCAUAGUCGCUCAUCCUCACUGGGCACAAGAUUUGCCCAGGCUCGGCUCCUGCUGCUGCUAGCUUCCGUGAUUAGGAGGGGGGAGAGCUAGGUCAGAAAGUGGUGAAUCAUGCGUUCAGGGGGUGGAAAAAAACCUUAUCAGCUGCUACCCUCCACCCCCAACCGGACUGUGCUGGUGUCCCUGCUUUCUUGCACAUUAUGCUGCCCUGCAACCAAAGCUGGGACAAGAGACUUCUGCCAGAGGAUCGUUUAAAGUCAGGUUCCAGCUACCUCCCUUCCGGUUUUGGUUUCACUUGGUUGUAACUGUCGGUUUGUUCUAGGUUUUACCUGUGUUAAAAAAAAUUUAAAACACAAACGGUUUCUUGCUGCAACUGAUUCAAGUGUGGGGGGGAGUUACAGAGAGAAGAGAAGGAGGAGGGGGAAAAAAAGGAAAAAAAAGAUGCAUGAUCCAAACCUGAGAAGAGCAAAACCUAUUUUUGUGUGUUAUUCUGCCAACUGAGUAGAAAGUUAGACACUUAUGUGUAGAUUUCCCUAGAAAUACAGUGAAGUGUUUAUUGCGUUGUUGGGGGGCGGGUGUCAGGGUUUGGGCUGGUCUUUUUUUUUUUCCUUGUGCUUUGUGUCAAGUCCAAGAAAUAAGGCUAGUUUGAUUUGUUUUUUUGGGGGGGAGGGAGGUUGGUAUAUCGUUUUUGGAGGGUGGGGGUGGGUGGGGUCAUUGCAUUUAUUUCUUCCAGAUUUUUUUAACAUGUGUAUUUGUGCUUUUUUUACAUUAUCCAACUGUACAUAUACAUUUAAUCAGUAUUUCACUGUGCUCAAAUUACUGCACUCCAAAAUCACUGCACAGUCUGAAUUCAGAACAACAAGACAGCGAGCGAGCGAGAAAGAGACAAAAGAAAAAAAAAGAAAAAAAGAAAAGAAAAGCUGCUAAAUGAUCAGACAGGUAAUUCCAGUGAGUUGGGAUUAGGGGCACUAAACAUUUCCCCGCUUCCAAGAUUCCAUCCCUUGAUUUCCAUUAGAGGCCAAAUUAGAAAACAAGGAGGUGAGUGAAUGAGUUAAACUGACACUUAGGCUGGGAUUUCCUAAGAGCAUUAGAUCCUGGGAGUUUGGUGUCUAAUGCCCUUAGGCUGCUUUGAGAAUCCUUGCCUUAAGUCCUCAUCUCGCAGCGUUCUCACCUGCAAAACUCCCACCGACUCCAAAGAGAAUUAGGUGUGUGUUUGGCCUGUCACUGGGCGAAGGCCAGGUGCAGCGGUUGACAACUUCAAGGUACAGGGCCCGAUUCUGAUCUCAGUGGUGUAACUCCAUUGACUUUGGCUGAGUUACUUCCACCUUACACCAUUCAGGGGUCCAGUCCUGUGAAGCUCUGAGUCCUUCCAAAAGGUGCUGAGCAGCACUCUUAAUACUCACCUGGGAGAUUGAGCCUCCUCGGACCAGGCCUGUUCCCAUUGAUGGAGUUUAACCUUUGAGCCCAAGGAGGCUUGAUCGGGGCUUGCUGAGAGCAGCCCCAGAACUAUCAAGCUGUGCUGCCGCUGAGCUCCAGUGCAUGAGGUCAAUAGAGAGCAAUGCAAAGGCUAAUGGAUUGCUCUUGCUACCAGUGACACCAGUUUGCAAACCCCAGUGGAGUAGAGUGUGAGUAGGAUGGGGAUGUUGUUUUCAUUUUUGCAAUAUUUUGUAGCAAACCAUUUUUCACUUUGGCCCCGUUCUAUAGCUCAGAGUCAGUUAAAAUCUAAUUGCUUCCUCUGUGGCCAAGCUCAAGUGCAUGAUUCAGCAUGGCUAGAGUCAGAGAGAGUGAGUCCUGGUGCUGCAGGUGCAGUACGGGCCUUGUGGGGGAAGCGGAGCUCAUGCAGGUCGUGCUUGAGCCAAAAGAACUCAGUUCUGAAAAUGGUUUUGGUUCAGAUUUUGUUGUUUCAAUCCGUGGGGUCGCAAUUCAGGCACCAUUUGUGAUCAUCUGAGUACAAAGAACCAGGGCUGUAAUGAGACAUUUUUCACCAGCAAUUCAAGAGGGAGGAAUUGGAACCAUUGUGGAGUUUGCAUUGUACGGCCUCUGUAAUCACUUACCUGUCUGUACAUGUCAGGCUGGAUCUUGUUCCCAUCAGCACCAACAAGAGGUUUUUUUUGCUAUUGACUUCAAUGGGAGCAGGAUUGAGCCAUAUUAGAUAUAUAUAUGCUAUAUAUAUAAUAUUAUAUGUGUAAUAUUAUAUAUAUGUGUGUAGUAUUUACAAAUAAAACUGUGAUCUCAUCUAGAGAAAAAUAGUACCAACUGCUCUUCCAUAUUUAUGUAUCAUAUUGUAUCUUUUUAUUAUUGUUAUAAUUAUGUUUAUUAUUAUUAUUAUUGUUAUUAUUAUUAUGGAAUCUUUCUGGCACUUUCUGGAAGCCACAUCAACCAAUAAUCCAAGGAAGUGCUAGGGAUCUAUUUUCACAAGAAUUCUACUGGUCUACUGUAUACAAGAAAAAUGAAAAAAAAAAGCAGAUAAACAAAAUACAGUUCAGCCCUUACUUCUGUACCUCACGCCUGUACGUUUGCUGCUCCUAUGUUGGGUUUUUAUUUUGCAUUCGUUUGUUUUUAACGGAUCUAAUUUAAGUCUCCAAGCAAUAUAUAAAGAUGUAAAUAGUAAAGCUUAUUUAUUAAGAUUGUCAUCCUUUUUUAAUUUAUAUUUACACAAUUGUUCAUCUAAUUUAUUUCUUUUUUUUUCAAUACAGUUUUUAACAGUUGUCCUUUUUUUGGUUCAUGAGCUUUUUUUUUUUUUUUUACCAUUUUUCCACAGAAUUUCUUUAUACAGGUUUUUUUUAAAAAAAAAACAACAAAACAAAUUCCUCUGGUCUUUCAAAUACAGGUCACGUGUCACUUCAAAAAAAAAGCUGUGUCAAAGACAUAAGAAAUAUUUUGCCAUUGUUGAUUCCUAUACUUUAAAAUUCUAUAUUAUAAAAAUAUAUAAUACCUUGUAUGCUUAAAUAUUUAACUGUGUGAUUUUGUAUAUAUCUUCAUACACAUGCUCACACAUCUAAGAGGGUUCAUGUCCCUUGAUGCUGGGAGAACAGAGAAUCAAAACCACAAACAAUAUAAGCUUGUAUUAAAGAGUUCUGAACUGGA